CGUUUAAAGUUAUUCUAUUAGGUAAUGAUAAUUUAUGUAUCAAAUUUGUCACGGAUGAGAGGGGUAAAUAUGUGGUUAAUAUAUUCCGCGGUCGUGAUGAAUAUUGUAUUAUCCUUCCUUCUUAUGUAUAAAUUCUCUCUCCGUACUAUUAUAAUAUUACGAUCGGGGCAAACGAGCCGCGCAUGGAUUACUAUUUCGUCGCGUUUUACAGGUAGAGGAGGAGGCGACCGGUCAAUAAU